CACUCCUGCGGGAGGCAGCAGUGGGGAAUAUUGGACAAUGGGCGCAAGCCUGAUCCAGCCAUGCCGCGUGAGUGAUGAAGGCCCUCGGGUUGUAAAGCUCUUUCACCGGUGAAGAUAAUGACGGUAACCGGAGAAGAAGCCCCGGCUAACUUCGUGCCAGCAGCCGCGGUAAUACGAAGGGGGCUAGCGUUGUUCGGAUUUACUGGGGGUAAAGCGCACGUAGGCGGACUAUUAAGUCAGGGGUGAAAUCCCGGGGCUCAACCCCGGAACUGCCUUUGAUACUGGUAGUCUUGAGUUCGAGAGAGGUGAGUGGAAUUCCGAGUGUAGAGGUGAAAUUCGUAGAUAUUCGGAGGAACACCAGUGGCGAAGGCGGCUCACUGGCUCGAUACUGACGCUGAGGUGCGAAAGCGUGGGGAGCAAACAGGAUUAGAAACCCCUGUAGUCCCAUG
rnacentral:rRNA from 1 species